GAUGAACGCUGGCGGCGUGCUUAACACAUGCAAGUCGAACGGGAAAUAUUUCAUUGAGCCUUCGGUGGAUUUGAUUUAUUUCUAGUGGCGGACGGGUGAGUAACGCGUGGGUAACCUGCCUUAUACAGGGGGAUAACAGUCAGAAAUGGCUGCUAAUACCGCAUAAGCGCACAGAGCUGCAUGGCUCAGUGUGAAAAACUCCGGUGGUAUAAGAUGGACCCGCGUUGGAUUAGCUAGUUGGUGGGGUAACGGCCCACCAAGGCGACGAUCCAUAGCCGGCAUGAGAGGGUGAACGGCCACAUUGGGACUGAGACACGGCCCAGACUCCUACGGGAGGCAGCAGUGGGGAAUAUUGCACAAUGGGGGAAACCCUGAUGCAGCGACGCCGCGUGAAGGAAGAAGUAUCUCGGUAUGUAAACUUCUAUCAGCAGGGAAGAUAGUGACGGUACCUGACUAAGAAGCCCCGGCUAACUACGUG
rnacentral:rRNA from 1 species